CUUGGCUACCCAGCGGUGCAUCCUGGCGGAACAACUGGUACACCGCUGGGUAGCCAAGUGCGGAAGGGAUAAGCGCUGAAAGCAUCUAAGCGCGAAGCCCCCCUCAAGAUGAGAUUUCCCAUUCCCUUCGUGGAAGUAAGACCCCUUGUAGAUGACAAGGUAGAUCGGUCCGGGGUGUAAGCACAGCAAUGUGUUCAGCUGACGGAUACGAAUCGGUCGAGGGCUUUCCCUA
rnacentral:ncRNA from 1 species